rnacentral:tRNA from 1 species
GGGCGUUUAGCGCAGUGGUAGCGCGUAUGCUUUGCAAAAGCUCACCCUUCGGGGCGAGUAUCGUGUGUAUAAGGUCCAGGGUUCAAUCCCCUGAACGUCCA